AGACAUUUUUAGUGGUGACAGCUGGCCCUGUGGAACUCGGCUCGAGUGCGGGAAGGUUUUUAAAAAGAGAGGGAGCCAAACCGCCGCCACUUUAAAUAGCAGCGCGGCAUGGAGAGGCGGGAGGGAGCGUGCGCUGGAGCCUGGCCGGCCUCCGUGCUCAGGCUCCAUGCGAUGCGGGGAGGCCCAAGCCGCGAGGACCGCCGAGCUCAGUGGUCCCAGCUCCACAUCUGACCGAGGGAGGCCCUGAGGUCCAGAGAGAGCAGAUGUCACACCUUCAUCUUCUCCAGGAUCACGUGUGACACAUCGAGAAACAUGCUUAUUUUUACGUGAGAAAAGCUCCAGUUAACAAUAAUAUCUACGCAUUCAUGGGAUUACUUACUACAUGCCGGACGCUAACGUCAGCUGGGGUGCUGCUCCUGCAUUCUGUGGGUCGCCUCAAUGUAGCUUCAAGCCACGGUUCCGAUCCAGGAACCCGAACCCCGACCGGCCCCAGACCCCAGGCUGACUUACAGGGAACACAGGGAGCGGAGAGCAGCCCAGAGCCCGCGGGGCAGGGGGCGCAACCCGGCCCGAGCGCGGCUCUCCGGACCAACGCAGGCACAGACACGGGGCGGGGAAACAGCUCCGGCCUGGGCUACUGGAGAGGAGAUUUCCAACACAUCAGCUUCGGAUCCUG